UGGAUGGGUUCUUUCUCGUAUGUUACAUGGGAAUGCCGACAGCUCUGUUUUAAUUGUGUUUGACCUAUGUUUUUGUUGUAGGGAAGCAGAAAUGAGAAACAGUAUCUUAGCUCAAGUUCUGGAUCAGUCGGCCCGGGCCAGGUUAAGUAACUUAGCACUUGUAAAGCCUGAAAAAACUAAAGCAGUAGAGAAUUACCUUAUACAGAUGGCAAGAUAUGGACAACUAAGUGAGAAGGUAUCAGAACAAGGUUUAAUAGAAAUCCUUAAAAAAGUAAGCCAACAAACAGAAAAGACAACAACAGUGAAAUUUAACAGAAGAAAAGUAAUGGACUCUGAUGAAGAUGACGAUUAUUGAACUACAAGUGCUCACAGACUAGAACUUAACGGAACAAGUCUAGGACAGAAGUUAAGAUCUGAUUAUUUACUUUGUUUAUUGUCUAUAUGCCUUUUAAAAAAAUAAACUUGUUAUGCAAAAUAAAA
rnacentral:sRNA from 1 species